rnacentral:rRNA from 1 species
UAAUACGGAGGGUGCAAGCGUUAUCCGGAUUCACUGGGUUUAAAGGGUGCGUAGGUGGGCAAGUAAGUCAGUGGUGAAAUCUCCGGGCUUAACCCGGAAACUGCCAUUGAUACUAUUUGUCUUGAAUACUGUGGAGGUCAGCGGAAUAUGUCAUGUAGCGGUGAAAUGCUUAGAUAUGACAUAGAACACCAAUUGCGAAGGCAGCUGGCUACACAAAUAUUGACACUGAGGCACGAAAGCGUGGGGAUCAAACAGGAUUAGAUACCCUGGUAGUCCACGCCCUAAACUAUGGAUACUCGACAUUUGCGAUAAACUGCAAGUGUCUGAGCGAAAGCAUUAAGUAUCCCACCUGGGAAGUACGAUCGCAAGAUU